rnacentral:siRNA from 1 species
ACUAAGCAAACAGAUCUAUUCCUA